AUCUGAGAUUCAACAGUCUUGCACAAUUCACAGCGCUUACCAGCAAGGGGAGAGGCGAAGCACAGAGAGCAGCAGAUCAGACCAUACUGAGCUCCCUUAGAGCGGCUGAGACCCGUGGAGGAUGCUGGCUGUCAAGUGGCUGAGGAGGGCCUCACUCUAAGGUGGGAAAGCAGGUGUCAGCGGGACAGCUUCCUCUGCUCCUGGGCUCACCAUGGCCUUCACUCUUUGGCUGGACGGCUGACGUGACUGUGUGCCCCAAGUGUGCACGCUGCUGGACUGGGUGCUGUCCCAGGUACUGCCUGCUCUCAGGGUCUGGGAGCAGGGCAGGUGGGCAUCAGAUGCUACCAAAAGCCGGACGGGGCAAAGCGAUGGACUCCGACAAGCUAAGAUGGAAGUGACCUGAGGCCUCGCCCAGGCGGUUUCCUCUUGACAGGAUAGCUUAAGAGUUGGAGCACAGGCUUGUCUGGGGAGCAGUAUGCAGGAAACUGAUUAUCAGGCCACAAAUGCUUUCACAGGUGAGAAUCCUCCACACUUAAAAGUUUGUUUCAACUCUUAGUUGGUAGGUAAUAAAAUACCAAACAACUCUAUAAAAUGAGUGUGCAUUUGCAUUUAUGAACUGAAGGCCAAACAGAGUCAAGGGGCUCAGGCUGCCAUGGUAACUGAUUUUGACAAAAUAAUAGUAUGUUUUUCUGCUCUCUAAAUAGGAAUUUGAAAAGCAUUUGACAUUUUAUGAUUCUGCUUUUGUUGAGUAAUAUGGCACACACAAUGUCCUGCAAGUCAUUGUUCUCUAAAGGAAAUGUCACUUGCGAGCAAUGUAUGGGGGUAUGUUUUUCUUUACAGAACUGGGAAGAGUGAGGGAAUAAAGUUAUUAAUGAUGAGUAA